UGGUGGAGCGAUUUGUCUGGUUAAUUCCGUUAACGAACGAGACCUCAGCCUGCUAUUGUAGUUGGGCGUAUCCUUCGUGGAUACCAGCGGCAACUUCUUAGAGGGACUAUCGUUGUUGCAGACGAUGGAAGUUUGAGGCAAUAACA
rnacentral:rRNA from 1 species